rfam:Lactobacillus sharpeae JCM 1186 = DSM 20505 NODE_24, whole genome shotgun sequence.
GGGUGGUUAGCUCAGCUGGCAGAGCACCGGACUCUUAAUCCGGGUGUCCAGGGUUCGAUCCCCUGACCACCCA